GACUAGUCUCGAGUCAUUGGUGUGUGUGACAUCAAGACAAGUACGUAGGUGUUCAAUAGAGAAUGAGUUCACUGAACACGAUCAACGAAGAGUUCUCAUAUUCAUGUCACAUGAGAACUCAUGGUUGGGAUAAUGCAAAGUAGUCCUUUGACCUGAGGCAUCACAGCUGUCUUGUGGUUAAGUUCUUGAUCUUUGAUUAUGUCAAAGUCACCCCAUCAGGGUGUCCACGGCAUCGUUGGGAUUAAGCCACUUAGCCAUGGAGACAAGUGAAUGCGCAACAAAGGAUCUCUAACCUUCAAACCGUUUGAGGGAGAAUACUCUAUGAUAUGAUUUAGAACCUCUGGCCAGAGUAUGAAUGAGAUUUAGAAAAGUCGUUCUAAAUCACAUUCAAGGUAAUCAUAUAAGCACACGAAUCACAUUGGAUAGUAGACAUGAAUAAAUAAACUAUCAAACCAAACAAUGUGGUCAAGAGUAUUGUAUUAGAGAAAGACCGUAUUGCAUUUGUAAUUCUAAACUGAAUAGGUUCUCCACCUCUUCUGAUUAGCUUGGGUAACCAUGAUAUGCUGCUAGGUGUCACUCAUGGUUUGUGGAAGCCCUAAACGUGUGUAAUCACUAAAGGGAGAAUUGAAAGUAAGUUUCAAUUCACAGUCGAUUUGAAAGAGUUCUAAUCGCCCACUGCCUCGCUAAAAGGAACCUAAUGGAUCGUACAC
rnacentral:lncRNA from 1 species